rnacentral:rRNA from 1 species
AUGAAUCUGUUGGCCUGAAACUGUCGAGGAUUGGGGUUGGACUCGACAGUGGGUGAAUUGUGAGACCUGGUACGGUCCUACAACCCAACAGUGGUGUUUCUUUGUGAGACUAAGAAAAAAGCGAAGGCGAUGGAGAGGCUAAAGUGGAGCUUGGGAUUCAGGAACGGUGUAGCGGUGGACUGCGUGGGAAAGAGUGGUGGUCUAGCACUAUGGUGGCGUGAUCAUGUGCAAGUUACUGUCCGGCCAUGGUGCCAAUAUUUUCUGGAUGCGGAGGUGGUAGUUGAAGGGAAAACCUGGGACGCACUAUGGUAUUUGCGUGCAUAG